GCCAUCUUCAGAAGCACAUGUAGAAAAACUGGACCAAUACCAAGAAUAUUAGCAUAACCUUUGUGCAAGGAUGACAUACAAAUUUGUGAAGCAUUGUAUAAUUUC